UCCGAGUUGUCCCCGGCAGUCCCCUUAGAGUCCCCGGCAUUACCCGCUGGCAACUAAGAGCAGGGGUUGCGCUCGUUGCGGCACUUAAGCCAACACCUCACGGCACGAGCUGACGACAGCCAUGCAGCACCUGUGUUGCGGUUCCCUUUCGGGCACCCUCACAUCUCUGCGAGGUUCCUGGCAUGUCAAGGGUAGGUAAGGUUUUUCGCGUUGCAUCGAAUUAAUCCACAUCAUCCACCGCUUGUGCGGGUCCCCGUCAAUUCCUUUGAGUUUUAACCUUGCGGCCGUACUCCCCAGGCGGCUCACUUCACGCGUUAGCUACGGUACCAAGGAAUCGCUUCCCCAACACCUAGUGAGCAUCGUUUACGGCGUGGACUAC
rnacentral:misc_RNA from 1 species